rnacentral:rRNA from 1 species
GCGACUAAGCGUACACGGUGGAUGCCCUGGCAGUCAGAGGCGAUGAAGGGCGUACUAAUCUGCGAUAAGCGCCGGUAAGGUGAUAUGAACCGUUAUAACCGGCGAUACCCGAAUGGGGAAACCCAGUGUGAUUCGUCACACUAUCAUUAACUGAAUCCAUAGGUUAAUGAGGCGAACCGGGGGAACUGAAACAUCUAAGUACCCCGAGGAAAAGAAAUCAACCGAGAUUCCCCCAGUAGCGGCGAGCGAACGGGGAGGAGCCCAGAGCCUGAAUCAGCAUGUGUGUUAGUGGAAGCGUCUGGAAAGGCGCGCGAUACAGGGUGACAGCCCCGUACACAAAAGCGCAUGUGCUGUGAGCUCGAUGAGUAGGGCGGGACACGUGGUAUCCUGUCUGAAUAUGGGGGGACCAUCCUCCAAGGCUAAAUACUCCUGACUGACCGAUAGUGAACCAGUACCGUGAGGGAAAGGCGAAAAGAACCCCGGCGAGGGGAGUGAAAAAGAACCUGAAACCGUGUACGUACAAGCAGUGGGAGCACCCUUUGGGUGUGACUGCGUACCUUUUGUAUAAUGGGUCAG